AAAACUACUCAGACAUGAUAAACGAAAUCAAAAACAUAGUAUUAAUAAGUAUAAUAGAAACCGAAAUUGAAAAAGAAAGAAACAAGGGUUCAAGAGAACAAAUCUCUCUCUCCUUAAAACCUAAAGCAAAAACAAUAAAAAUAUGAAGUAAUGAUAGAUGAUAUCGAUUAGGGUUCCUAAAACAUGUAUUUAUAGUGCUCAAGACAUCUCUGGACGUCACUUAGGGUUUCUCCAAAUGAGGGAAUCAUUGUGGGCUUCAGAAAUGUGCUUUUGGGCUCGGAGUUGGCUUGCCGUGGUCGGGAGGGCUGUGACCACGGGGAAUGGAUGGUUGGCCGCGGUCGGGAUGCUUCUGACCGCGGGAAAUGGCCUGUUGGUCGUGGGUGGAGUUGCUUGCUGGCUGGUUUACGGGACAUCUUGCUCUUCGCGUAUCUUUUGAUUGAACCGUUGGAUUGCCAAGCUGUAAAGUGUGCUGGAAAGCUGAUACUUCCAUCUUUAAGGUCUCCAAAUUUGAGCUGGAUCAGACGGUGAGAAGACCUUCAAUCAGGGGUGAACUUCUGACGGUUUAACUCUGAGCUGAAAUCUGGUUUUCUAUCCAUUUUGUUAAGCUUUUCCCUAAGUUACCUGAAAAGAGUCUUAGAACUACAAAUACUAGAAAAACGUAAUAAAAGUACUUAAAAGCAAUUAAAAACAUAGAAAAGUAUUUCAAAACGAUCCAUAAAAGUGGUCAAAAUACGGUGUUAUCAACUCCCCUAGACUGGUUAAGUGAAAACAAAAAUAGGAAAUGCACAAAUCUCAUAGACAUGAACUCCUAAACUAGGACCAAAGAUAGUGCAUCAAUCCACAACUUAGUCUAGAAAAUUCUCACUAAUGCACAAGAGAUACUAGUCCACUUUUUCCGUCAUGCAAAACUUAAACAAUCUAAAUCUUGAUUCCAGUCAACUAGCUCUCUACAUUCAUUAAGUUCAAUAGUGAGUUCUCAUUAAAGACAUCAUCCAGGGUAGACGGCGUUUGGCAUUAAAGGGCUAUUUAAGUGGUGGAGUUUAAGUGUUUCGGGUUACCUGAAGAUCUGGAGGAUGCUAGAUAAUAUGCAAAACCGCAAGAGAGAUAAGGACCUGUUGAUGACCGCAAUUUUCAGUCACUUCUUAUUUCCAAAUGUUGUUGCAUAAUCCUUCCUCCUUUGUUGUAAACAGCUAUUCCCCCAGACUUAGAUUCUUUCCGGGAAUCAGAAAACAAUCUCCAAAACUCCAUAAAAUUGAACUCCAGUUGCCUUGGGACUUAAAAUUCGACCUCUCUAGACUCUCUAAGGCUUUUAUCUCCUUUCUUUUCUUAUUUUCAGAUUUUUUUUUUAUUUUGGAAAGGAAAUGCCUUUUAAAGAGAGAAAGACUAGAGGACGAGAUUGUACCAAAAUUUGAGAUUUUUCUAAGGCAAACUGAGCUUCCUCUUGUGUUGAAUCCUUCCGGGAAUUUUUACGGCAAAUCGCAGGUCUCUGUCCUUAGUGACUGAAAACUGCGUCGUUCCUCUUUCUCUCCAACGUUUUUGCACUUAUCUGCAUAUAAGACAAUAGAAAACAAGAGUGCAUGUGCUUUGAAAGAGGAUUGGUUAAGGUGGGGAACUAGCUAAAGAUGAACUAGCCAUUCAGGAUCAACAGAGAGUGGUAAAAGGAUUAAGGAGUCCUGAAUGUAUGAUUCGUUUCCCUGGUCUAAUGCUUCAAUGAGAAAAUUAAGUCCAAAUUAAGUCUAAAUAAAUCAGAGCUAGUGUAUCCCUUCAUCUAAAUCGAAAUCAUUCAAAUUCCUCUAGGGUACUUCGUUUCAAAUGUGCUUAGCUACCGCCUAGUCUAGUCCUAAAUCAUGAAUGAGCAUGUCACUAGGAACAGUCUAAAAGCGCACAGUCAACUAUCAUUGAUUCAUGUUCACCAUUCCCUUUAAAACGUAUUUUGUUUUGAAAACCGAUUUUGAAAAACUUUAAGGAAAAUGCAAAAAGUGUAGAUAAUGCAAGACUCAUGAAAGAAAAGUGGUUAGAAAGGGAUGAAAUCCUCCCCCAGACUUCAAUCACACUGUCCUCAGUGUGAAACAAGUCGAGAUUGGAUGAGAAAAAUGCAUAGAUAAUCGAAUUGGUAAGGACAAAGAGAACUUACCUGGAUCCGGGAUGCUGGUGGAGAUGAACCGGUUUCAUUCGAAGGGGUUUGGGAAGGUGAUAGGUGGUGAUGAAGGUGGUGGAGGGUGAUGAAUGAGGUGGACUGGGGAUUGGUGAGGUGAAAUGAGGUGAAGUGGGUGGUUUGGGGUCGGGUUUGAUCUCAACGACCAAUUGCCGCGGUCAGGAGUCACGCGACCGCGGCAAACAGGUGCUUGGCCGCGGUCAGAAUCACGCGACCGCGGUCGAUGGUACGUUUCCCGCGGUCAGAACGUCUGCGACCGCGAGGGCUUAUUUCGCGGCCUCUUCCUACUUCUCUUUGGUUCCUGCUGGGCUGAGCAGUCAGGUACCAUCCUUCUUUUUGGUUUUUUCGGGUUUUUUGAUUUUUUUGGAUUUUUUGUUUUAUAAGAAACACCUGAAACUAAGAAAAAUAAAAAGAUCAAAAGAAAAGAAAGAAAAAUCAUAAAGAAAACAAUACCUAAAUGGGUUGCCUCCCAUUAAGCGCUUUUUGUUUUAAGUCGUUUAGCUCGACUUUUGGUGUUGGACGUGACUUAUUCCAAUGAAGAAGACCUUGUCCUGAGACAAGUCUUUUUUCGACAUCUCCUUGUUUUGCCUAGCAGGUUCUUCGUCACUCCAAAAUUCUUCUUCAAACCCUUCUGCUGCAGAACUUUUUCCUGCUUUGCUGUUGUAUGGGACAGCUUCUGUGAAGACAUCUUUGUCGAUAUUAGCAAAUGAAAUCCUCCGGUUUGGCCAGUCCAUUAUAGCUCCGGAAGUUGCUAGAAAAGACCAUCCGAGAAUCACUGGAUAUGUUGCAUCUCUCGUUUCGACAAUGUAGAAGUCGACAUGCACUAUGCAAUCUCCUAUUCUCAAAGGAAUUUCAUGAGCUAUUCCUUGAGGUGUUGCAUUGGAAUUAUCAGCUAGACUAAUCUUUGCUCUAGUCCUGCGCAGGUGUCUAAUACCAAGUCUCAAAGCAAUUGCCUUGGACAUCAUGUUAAGACAAGCUCCAGAAUCACAUAGCACGUUUUUAAACAUUUCUCCUCUAAUAGAACAAGAGAUAAGAAACUGACCUACACCAUCGAUUUUGUGAAGUGUUCGAACAGGUUUACCUUUUCUUGCAUGAUUGAACAAGUCUUCUAUCUCAGGGAUUGAUUCUUUGCUCUCACAGAAGUAGUGGCCUAUCAUAAAGUCCUUGCAAGCUCUGGCAAACGUGAUUCUUUCAGGCAAAUUUCAAACCACAUCAUUGAAUUCGUCGAGCUUUUCCUUGCUGAUUUUGUUGGUGUAGUGGCUGCAGUCUUCCGGUCUUUGGAGGUGGAUUGAAUAAACAGCAGCAUCAGGUGAUGUUCUGGGAAAGGUCAGACGUCUGACCCUUCCAAAAUAGGUUCUGUUAUCCUCCUUUGUCUCCUUGCUGUACCUAAAGGAAACUUGCAAACAACCAAGAUGCCAUAUAUCAUCGAAACCUGUGUAAAGAGGGAUCGAUUUCACAAACUUGUUGAAUUCAAUGAGCCUUUCUCUGGAGAUUGGUGCUCCUAAUUCCACCAUUUUGUCUGGAUUCCCUCCUUCUAUGAACAGACGAUAGUCUUCAUCUUCGAGGUAGUGCCCUUCAUAUUCAUCCUCAUAUGCUAAAACUAUGUUGCAAGGGAGUACCUCAUUUUCUUCUUGAGAUGUUUUGGAGCUGAUAGCAUACACUGUUUGCUCAUGAAGAGGGGCUUUGACCAUCCCAGCAGAUGUAUCAAAUAAGCAUUGACCUGUAGGAAUUGAAAAUGGCUGAAAGGUAUCUGACGGAGCAUUUGACGCGGGUAGAGGCUUCAUGACCGCGGGUGGGGAGGGUUUUGCCGCGGUCAGGAGGCUCACGACUGCGGCUGGAAGCUUGUUGGCCGCGGUCACAAGAGUUCUGACCGCGGGAAGGAGGCUCCGAGUUGUUUCCUCCGUUUUGUCUGCUCCUUUGCCAUCUGAACUGAUUUCUGCACCUUCUAACUCUGUUUCCUCCUCUUUUAUGCUAAGAUCUUCGAUGAGAAGCGUCAAACCAUUCACGUCCUUGCAUAAGCUUUUCGACCUUCUCUUCGAUUUCAUCGAGAGCAUAGACUACUUUGUCCACGGUUGAGUUUAUUUCCUCUGCUUUGUCUUGAACCUUGUGUACUCCAUCCCAAAUCUCUUCCACAUAGGAAUAGGUUUGGUUGUUAUGGUCGUUAAUAGUCUUUUCUGCUUCAUCAAGUUUAACCUCUAAGGUGUGGAUGUUCCCACUGGCUUUGCGAAUGCGAACUUCGUUUUCUCCAACUCGUCCUUCGACUGCUUCUAUCCUCGCCUUAAUGGUUUCAGCACCCUUGUUUAGUUGAGUUUCGAUGGUCUUGACUUGAGCUGAAAGAUCUUCAAGCUUUCUGUUAAAGCGCAUUGACAAAUCUUCAAUUUUCUCGUGGAUUGUGGAUCUAGAUCUUGCUUGAACGUCGAGUAGGUGCAAGACCGCCACUUAUAGUGUUUUCAAUCGGUGAAUGAGUUGGACGUUUUCAUCUUGGUGAGGCAAACGACGGGCAGGUUGUUCAGGGUUGGCCAUUGGAGAUGCGCAGGGCUCCUUCUGGAACGUUCUGUAGUCUUCGCUUUGAGUUUAUUCGUAGAGAUCUCGCAGAUACUGCUUUUUUCUGCGUCUGGUGGCUUGAGGAGUGUUAUAGAAACCUUCCUCAUAGUGUAUAUUUUGAUUUAUAGGAUCCAUAUCUUCUGAAAUGGAAACAAAAUAACCGAAAAAUGGAAAGUUGCAGAAAAGGGGGUUCUAUAGUCGAUUUACCAACCUUUCUCGGGGUUUUGCGGAAAAGAAAACGCGUGCCUUCCCCGGCAACGGCGCCAAAAAUUGAUGUGGUGUGGUGUGAGGGUUGUCAAGUUUUACCCUAGAUGAAAUCAAUAGCCGCAAGUGCACAGCUGAUCGAUUGUAGUACUUAGGGAUCGAAUCCACAGGGAAGGAGGAUCUUUUCCUGCAAAAAGCCUUUGAAAUAAGUAUAAAGUAAGGAAGUCUAGAACCAAACGGUUUUGUGGGGGUUUUGGUAGUGUGUUUAAAAUGUAAAAACAAAAUCUUAAAAGAAAAUACGGGAAUUAAAUGACCUAAUAACUAAACUUCACGAAAAUGAAUAAAAAUGAGAAAAACGGAUAUUCUAAUUGCUUAAAUGAUAAAAGACAAUAUUGAACUAAAGCUUGAAAUAAAAACGGUGUGAAUCUAUAGGAAAGAAGGCGUUGGGGUUCAGGGAAGUUUUCUCAGGGGUACGAACGAUUCAAAACAUUGCUAGAGAGUAAAAUUGAUAAGAUCUUAGCUUAAACUUUUCGAACUGGAGUCACGGACGUAUGAAUACGCCACUGUCGUGAUCAUAGACAACUAUCGCUCUCAACCCUGACCAGUAGGUUUCCACUCCGGCCCUGGAAGAGAAGAGAUGCAUUAUGUUUAAGACUCCUCAGCAUUCACAAAUCGCCCAUAGGUAGGUUUCCACUCCUAUGGUUGUUUUGCUCUCCCAAACUAGAUCUGACACCGGGUGAACACUUUCGUGUCACCAAGCAUCUGGAUCAGAUUGUAGUUCAUGACGCUACUCUCAUGCAGUAAAAACGAAUUCAGAAGAAAAAGUUCUAAGAUUCGGCUCAAAAGCUCAUGGAAUCCUCAUCGAACAUAUAAAUCCCCAUCGAAAAUCCCUUAAUCCCAACAAUAACACUACUCAGACAUGAUAAACGAAAUCAAAAACAUAGUAUUAAUAAGUAUAAUAGAAACCGAAAUUGAAAAAGAAAGAAACAAGGGUUCAAGAGAAAAAAUCUCUCUCUCCUUAAAACCUAAAGCAAAAACAAUAAAAAUAUGAAGUAAUGAUAGAUGAUAUCGAUUAGGGUUCCUAAAACAUGUAUUUAUAGUGCUCAAGACAUCUCUGGACGUCACUUAGGGUUUCUCCAAAUGAGGGAAUCAUUGUGGGCUUCAGAAAUGGGCUUUUGGGCUCGGAGUUGGCUUGCCGCGGUCGGGAGGGCUGUGACCGCGGGGAAUGGAUGGUUGGCCGCGGUCGGGAUGCUUCUGACCGCGGGAAAUGGCCUGUUGGCCGUGGGUGGAGUUGCUUGCUGGCUGGUUUACGGGACAUCUUGCUCUUCGCGUAUCUUUUG
rnacentral:lncRNA from 1 species